UAUGAAGUUUAGGUGGCAAGCUCU
rnacentral:siRNA from 1 species